AGAGUUUGAUCCUGGCUCAGGAUGAACGCUAGCGGCAGGCUUAAUACAUGCAAGUCGUGGGGCAGCGCAGGUAGCAAUACUGGGCGGCGACCGGCAAACGGGUGCGGAACACGUACACAACCUUCCUUCAAGUGGGGAAUAGCCCAGAGAAAUUUGGAUUAAUACCCCGUAACAUAGCGAUGUGGCAUCACAUUGUUAUUAUAGCUUCGGCGCUUGUUGAUGGGUGUGCGGCUGAUUAGAUAGUUGGCGGGGUAACGGCCCACCAAGUCUACGAUCAGUAGCUGAUGUGAGAGCAUGAUCAGCCACACGGGCACUGAGACACGGGCCCGACUCCUACGGGAGGCAGCAGUAAGGAAUAUUGGUCAAUGGACGAAAGUCUGAACCAGCCAUGCCGCGUGAAGGAUUAAGGUCCUCUGGAUUGUAAACUUCUUUUAUCUGGGACGAAAAAAGGCGAUUCUUCGUCACUUGACGGUACCAGAUGAAUAAGCACCGGCUAACUCCGUGCCAGCAGCCGCGGUAAUACGGAGGGUGCAAGCGUUAUCCGGAUUCACUGGGUUUAAAGGGUCCGUAGGCGGUUUAAUAAGUCAGUGGUGAAAUCUGGUCGCUCAACGAUCAAACUGCCAUUGAUACUGUUAGACUUGAAUAAUUGUGAAGUAACUAGAAUAUGUAGUGUAGCGGUGAAAUGCUUAGAUAUUACAUGGAAUACCAAUUGCGAAGGCAGGUUACUAACAAUUUAUUGACGCUGAUGGACGAAAGCGUGGGGAGCGAACAGGAUUAGAUACCCUGGUAGUCCACGCCGUAAACGAUGGAUACUAGCUGUUCGGCGCAAGUUGAGUGGCUAAGCGAAAGUGAUAAGUAUCCCACCUGGGGAGUACGCACGCAAGUGUGAAACUCAAAGGAAUUGACGGGGGCCCGCACAAGCGGUGGAGCAUGUGGUUUAAUUCGAUGAUACGCGAGGAACCUUACCAGGGCUUAAAUGGGAGUGGACAGCUUAGGAAACUAGGCCUUCUUCGGACCACUUUCAAGGUGCUGCAUGGUUGUCGUCAGCUCGUGCCGUGAGGUGUCAGGUUAAGUCCUAUAACGAGCGCAACCCCUGUCGUUAGUUGCCAGCGAGUGAUGUCGGGAACUCUAACGAGACUGCCGGUGUAAACCGUGAGGAAGGUGGGGAUGACGUCAAAUCAUCACGGCCCUUACGUCCUGGGCCACACACGUGCUACAAUGGCCAGUACAGAGAGCAGCCACUUAGCGAUAAGGAGCGAAUCUUCAAAACUGGUCUCAGUUCGGAUUGGAGUCUGCAACUCGACUCUAUGAAGCUGGAAUCGCUAGUAAUCGGAUAUCAGCCAUGAUCCGGUGAAUACGUUCCCGGGCCUUGUACACACCGCCCGUCAAGCCAUGGAAGCUGGGGGUACCUGAAGUCGGUGACCGCAAGGAGCUGCCUAGGGUAAAACUGGUAACUAGGGCUAAGUCGUAACAAGGUAGCCGUA
rnacentral:rRNA from 1 species